rnacentral:rRNA from 1 species
UACGUAGGGUGCGAGCGUUAAUCGGAAUUACUGGGCGUAAAGCGUGCGCAGGCGGUUCGUUAUGUCCGUUGUGAAAGCCCCGGGCUCAACCUGGGAAUGGCAAUGGAAACUGGCGGGCUAGAGUGUGGCAGAGGGGGGUGGAAUUCCGCGUGUAGCAGUGAAAUGCGUAGAUAUCGAGAGGAACACCUGCGGCGAAGGCGGGUUGCUGGGCCGACACUGACGCUGAUGCGCGAAAGCCAGGGGAGCGAACGGG